rnacentral:lncRNA from 1 species
AAAAGUUUCAGAAGAUAUGACAUUUGAGAGAGCCUGUUCUUUCUUGGAUUUCCUGGAUUUAUUGAGUUCCAGCUGUGCCCACUCCUUCACUUCAGGUUUUGAUUGGGAUUCUCCCCCUUUGAACAACCACAGCACUUUGACGGUGCAGUAUAUUGUUUUCAUAAAGGCAUUUACAAAAACUGAAACGUGAUGGUUAGAUAAAUAUUUACCCCAAAUAGCCCUACUUGGUAGAACCAACUUUGGUUGCACUGAGAAUUGUUGGUAUUUUUUUUAGCCAAGUCCCUACCAGCUUUGCACAAGUAAAAUCAAUCAGCAAUUCCACAGAACUUCCCUCCAUCAACCGGACUAUAGAGCCUAAUGUUGAAAGUGUCUCACUGCGGCGCAAUAGAAGGUGAUUUACACUAAUACGAAAAAGGCUAUCUACCUUCCUGAAAGUCUCAUUAGAGUGGCACUCAGCGUAGCUCUCUGCCAAACCUGGUUUCCAUUAAACAGCAGCUUGAAUGGAGAUUCUUCGGACAUUGCG